rnacentral:tRNA from 1 species
UAGGGUUUAGCAUUUUUAAUGCAGGAGGUUGUAGCCCUUUUGAUGGUGAAAUUUGGCUGAUCAGGA